AAACAAUCUUAUUUAUUUCAAAAUUAUUUAAAUACUACAAAGACUUCCUUAAGCAAAAUUAAUGCUCUUAGGAUCGGUUUUAUAGAACACAUAAGACUGUGAAAUCUAUUUUCUAUGGUAAAAUAUAUGUAUAUGUAUAUUUUUUCUUAAUUGAAAAAUACAAACCUAAAAAUGUGCGUUCUCUGUUGUUGGCAUUACCACGUUUAACCUUAACGCACAGAUGUAUCAUUAGGAACAUUGUAACAUUCAUUACUACACUCUGGACGAGAAGCGGAAGCUCAUAACGUUUGGAAAACC